AUGAAAUUCAUAAUUCAAAAACGAAGCACACGUAUGAAAUUCUCUAUCAAUCCUUGUAGUAUAUUACAUGAAUAAAUGUAUCUAUCAUCCUCGUCAUCCAAGCAUUAUGGAGCAACAAAUGGGAAGUGGGUGCUUAAGCGUGUUCUCAGAAAUCAGAAUGAGUCCAAGCUCCAAUGUGUUGCUUAACAAAGCAAAAUGAACCCAAGAAAAACUCUUUCAGAUAUAAAGGAUAAAGAAUCUACCCAAUAUUCAAUAAUGCAACCGCCCAUUCACUCAGAACCAGGAAUUUACGAAAGAAAAUGGAAGGGUUGGCAAAAAAUUCCAAAUUCUCUACUGCUUACACAAUAGUAUAUACCAGCCAUAAACA
rnacentral:misc_RNA from 1 species